rfam:Angiostrongylus costaricensis strain Costa Rica genome assembly, scaffold: ACOC_contig0003021
ACCUCAUUGGCUCAGGGGCAGAGCGUCUGUCUUGUAAACAGAAGGUCCCUGGUUCGAUUCCAGCAUGAGGCA